AUUGAACGCUGGCGGCAUGCCUUACACACGCAAGUCGAACGGCAGCACGGGUGCUUGCACCUGGUGGCGAGUGGCGAACGGGUGAGUAAUAUAUCGGAACGUACCUUAUUGUGGGGGAUAACGCAGCGAAAGCUGUGCUAAUACCGCAUAAUCCCUAAGGGGGAAAGCGGGGGACCGUAAGGCCUCGCGCAAUUAGAGCGGCCGAUACCUGAUUAGCUAGUUGGUGAGGUAAAGGCUCACCAAGGCAACGAUCAGUAGCUGGUCUGAGAGGACGAUCAGCCACACUGGGACUGAGACACGGCCCAGACUCCUACGGGAGGCAGCAGUGGGGAAUUUUGGACAAUGGGGGCAACCCUGAUCCAGCAAUGCCGCGUGAGUGAAGAAGGCCUUCGGGUUGUAAAGCUCUUUUGUCAGGGAAGAAACAGCAGCUCUAACACAGUAUGCGAAUGACGGUACCUGAAGAAGAAGCACCGGCUAACUACGUGCCAGCCGCCGCCGUAA
rnacentral:rRNA from 1 species